rnacentral:rRNA from 1 species
AGGGAAUCUUCCACAAUGGACGAAAGUCUGAUGGAGCAACGCCGCGUGAGUGAUGAAGGUUUUCGGAUCGUAAAACUCUGUUGUAAGGGAAGAACCAGUACGUCAGGCAAUGGACGUACCUUGACGGUACCUUAUUAGAAAGCCACGGCUAACUACGUGCCAGCAGCCGCGGUAAUACGUAGGUGGCAAGCGUUGUCCGGAAUUAUUGGGCGUAAAGCGCGCGCAGGUGGUUUCUUAAGUCUGAUGUGAAAGCCCACGGCUUAACCGUGGAGGGUCAUUGGAAACUGGGAGACUUGAGUGCAGAAGAGGAAAGUGGAAUUCCAAGUGUAGCGGUGAAAUGCGUAGAGAUCGAGAGGAAUACUCAUUGCGAAGGCGACCUGCUGGAACAUUACUGACGCUGAGGUGCGAAAGCGUGGGGAGCAAACA